AGUUGAUCAUGGCUCAGAUUGAACGCUGGCGGAAUGCUUUACACAUGCAAGUCGAACGGUAGAGGGGGCAACCCUCGAGAGUGGCGAACGGGUGAGUAAUAUAUCGGAACGUGCCCAGUCGUGGGGGAUAACGCAGCGAAAGCUGUGCUAAUACCGCAUACGAUCUAUGGAUGAAAGCGGGGGACCGUAAGGCCUCGCGCGAUUGGAGCGGCCGAUGUCAGAUUAGCUAGUUGGUGGGGUAAAGGCCCACCAAGGCGACGAUCUGUAGCUGGUCUGAGAGGACGACCAGCCACACUGGAACUGAGACACGGUCCAGACUCCUACGGGAGGCAGCAGUGGGGAAUUUUGGACAAUGGGCGCAAGCCUGAUCCAGCAAUGCCGCGUGCAGGAAGAAGGCCUUCGGGUUGUAAACUGCUUUUGUACGGAACGAAACGGUCUGGGCUAAUACCCCGGGCUAAUGACGGUACCGUAAGAAUAAGCACCGGCUAACUACGUG
rnacentral:rRNA from 1 species